rnacentral:rRNA from 1 species
CCUACGGGAGGCAGCAGUGGGGAAUAUUGCGCAAUGGGCGAAAGCCUGACGCAGCGACGCCGCGUGAGGGAUGAAGGUCUUCGGAUCGUAAACCUCUGUCAGCGGGGAAGAACGGUCACUGUGCUAAUCAGCAGUGAAUUGACGGUACCUGCAGAGGAAGCACCGGCUAACUCCGUGCCAGCAGCCGCGGUAAUACGGAGGGUGCGAGCGUUAAUCGGAAUUACUGGGCGUAAAGCGCUCGUAGGCGGUAUGUCAAGUCAAGGGUGAAAUCCCCGCGCUCAACGUGGGAACUGCCUUUGAAACUGGCAAACUUGAGUGUGUUAGAGGAUAGUGGAAUUCCAGGUGUAGGAGUGAAAUCCGUAGAGAUCUGGAGGAAUACCAGUGGCGAAGGCGACCAUCUGGCACAUAACUGACGCUGAGGAGCGAAAGCGUGGGUAGCAAACAGGAUUAGAUACCCGAGUAGUC